rnacentral:rRNA from 1 species
AUACGGAGGGGGUUAGCGUUGUUCGGAAUUACUGGGCGUAAAGCGUACGUAGGCGGAUUAGUAAGUUAGAGGUGAAAUCCCAGGGCUCAACCCUGGAACUGCCUUUAAUACUGCUAGUCUAGAGUUCGAGAGAGGUGAGUGGAAUUCCAAGUGUAGAGGUGAAAUUCGUAGAUAUUUGGAGGAACACCAGUGGCGAAGGCGGCUCACUGGCUCGAUACUGACGCUGAGGUACGAAAGUGUGGGGAGCAAACAGGAUUAGAUACCCUGGUAGUCCACACCGUAAACGAUGAAUGCCAGACGUCAGCAAGUAUACUGUUGUGUCACACUAACGGAUUAAGCAUUCCGCCUGGGGAGUACGGUCGCAAAGAUUAAAAACUCAAAAGGAAUUGAACGGGGGGCCCGACAACAAAGCGGUGGAGCAAUGUGGUUUAAUUCGAAAGCAACGCGCAGAACCUUACAAACCCUUGACAUCCUGUGCCACUACCAGAGAAUGGUACGUUCCCUUGGGGACGCAGUGACAGUGCUGC